rnacentral:rRNA from 1 species
UACGAAGGGUGCAAGCGUUACUCGGAAUUACUGGGCGUAAAGCGUGCGUAGGUGGUUCGUUAAGUCUGUCGUGAAAGCCCCGGGCUCAACCUGGGAAUGGCGAUGGAUACUGGCGGGCUAGAGUGCGGUAGAGGGGGGUGGAAUUCCUGGUGUAGCGGUGGAAUGCGCAGAUAUCAGGAGGGACACCGAUAGCGAAGGCAGCUCGCUGGGACGGUACUGACGCUGAGGCGCGAAAGCGUGGGGAGCGAACGGG